GCUGUCUCUCAAGCAAAU
rnacentral:rRNA from 1 species